rnacentral:rRNA from 1 species
AUCUAAUCAACUCUUCAAAACAUUUAUAUAUAUAUAUCUUAGUAUAGGUGAUAGAACAGAUUUAUUCUUAGGCACAAUAGAGAGAGUACCGUGAGGGAACGUUGAAAGAUCUUAUCCUGUAAGCAAUAAAAAGCAAAGAUUAAAUCUUCUACCUUUUGCAUAAUGAUUUAGCUAGUCUACCCGGACAAAAAGAAUUAAAGCCCGUCUUCCCGAAAUUAAGUGAGCUAUUGUAGAACAGUUGUUAGAACGAACUCGUCUAUGUAGCAAAAUAGUGAGAUGAUUUUACAAUAGAGGUGAAAAGCCUAUCGAACUUAAUGAUAGCUGGUUGUCCAAAAAGCGAAUUUUAGUUCAACUUUAAAUUUAACUCAAGUACUAAUAAACCGAAUUUAAAUUUAAACGUUACUCAAAAGGGGGACAACUCUUUUGAUAUGUAAACAAACUUGCUUAGUGGGUAAUGAUAUAUACACAAUACAUUGUAGGCCUAAAAGCAGCCACCAAUUAAGAAAGCGUUAAAGCUCAAACUAGACUGUCAUUUAAUACCAAUCAUUUAUCAAAACCCCUAACCCAAUAUUGGACAAUUCUAUUAAUAUUUAGAAGAUAUAAUGCUAAUAUGAGUAACAUGAAUAGAUUCUCCUUGCAUAGGCAUAAAUACGACCGGAACAACCGCUUACACUUAAUCAACCAAAUAACUAUACCCACAUACAAGCAUCCUAUUACCCUUAUUGUUAACCCAACCCAGGCAUGCAUAAAAAGGAAAGAUUAAAAGGAAUAAAAGGAACUCGGCAAACAAAACCCCGCCUGUUUACCAAAAACAUCACCUCUAGCAUUCACCAGUAUUAGAGGCACUGCCUGCCCGGUGAGUUAUGACUUUAACGGCCGCGGUAUCCUGACCGUGCAAAGGUAGCAUAAUCACUUGUCUCUUAAUUGGAGACUAGUAUGAAUGGCAUGACGAGGGUUU